rnacentral:rRNA from 1 species
GACGGAGGGUGCAAGCGUUGUUCGGAAUUACUGGGCGUAAAGCGUGCGCAGGCGGUGAUGUAAGACAGGUGUGAAAUCCCCGGGCUUAACCUGGGAACUGCAUUUGUGACUGCAUCGCUGGAGUGCGGCAGAGGGGGAUGGAAUUCCGCGUGUAGCAGUGAAAUGCGUAGAUAUGCGGAGGAACACCGAUGGCGAAGGCAAUCCCCUGGGCCUGUACUGACGCUCAUGCACGAAAGCGUGGGGAGCAAACAGG